CAUUACCGAGUUUACAACUCCCAAACCCCUGUGAACAUACCACUUGUUGCCUCGGCGGAUCAGCCCGCUCCCGGUAAAACGGGACGGCCCGCCAGAGGACCCCUAAACUCUGUUUCUAUAUGUAACUUCUGAGUAAAACCAUAAAUAAAUCAAAACUUUCAACAACGGAUCUCUUGGUUCUGGCAUCGAUGAAGAACGCAGCAAAAUGCGAUAAGUAAUGUGAAUUGCAGAAUUCAGUGAAUCAUCGAAUCUUUGAACGCACAUUGCGCCCGCCAGUAUUCUGGCGGGCAUGCCUGUUCGAGCGUCAUUUCAACCCUCAAGCACAGCUUGGUGUUGGGACUCGCGUUAAUUCGCGUUCCUCAAAUUGAUUGGCGGUCACGUCGAGCUUCCAUAGCGUAGUAGUAAAACCCUCGUUACUGGUAAUCGUCGCGGCCACGCCGUUAAACCCCAACUUCUGAAUGUUGACCUCGGAUCAGGUAGGAAUACCCGCUGAACUUAAGCAUAUCAAUAAGCGGAGGAAAAGAAACCAACAGGGAUUGCCCUAGUAACGGCGAGUGAAGCGGCAACAGCUCAAAUUUGAAAUCUGGCUCUCGGGCCCGAGUUGUAAUUUGUAGAGGAUACUUUUGAUGCGGUGCCUUCCGAGUUCCCUGGAACGGGACGCCAUAGAGGGUGAGAGCCCCGUCUGGUUGGAUGCCAAUCUCUGUAAGUUCCUUCACGAGUCGAGUAGUUUGGGAAUGCUGCUCUAAAUGGGAGGUAUAUGUCUUCUAAAGCUAAAUA
rnacentral:rRNA from 1 species